rnacentral:rRNA from 1 species
UACGUAGGUGGCAAGCGUUGUCCGGAAUUAUUGGGCGUAAAGCGCGCGCAGGCGGUCCUUUAAGUCUGAUGUGAAAGCCCACGGCUCAACCGUGGAGGGUCAUUGGAAACUGGUCGACUUGAGUGCAGAAGAGGGAAGUGGAAUUCCAUGUGUAGCGGUGAAAUGCGUAGAGAUAUGGAGGAACACCAGAGGCGAAGGCGGCUUCCUGGUCUGUAACUGACACUGAGGCGCGAAAGCGUGGGGAGCAAACAGG